NNAUAUGGUGCUCCUGGGGGAGCCCGGGACCACCAGGUUGACCAAGGAGGGGUGCACCGGCCCAGGUCGGAGACGGAGCAGGUCAAAGCCCCC
rnacentral:sRNA from 1 species